rnacentral:lncRNA from 1 species
AGCACCAUUUCCCCAUCCCUAUGGUCCCCCAAACAUCUCCUCUCCAUUCCACCAUUAACCUUUUUCCCACAGAGAGAUACCGUACUCAAAGGUUUAUGUGUUCUCUCUCUGUCUCUGUUUCUGUCUCUGUGUCUCUCUGUGUCUCUCUGUCUCUGUCUCUGUCUCUGUCUCUGUCUCUGUCUCUCUCUCUCUCCCCUGUCCCACUCUGUGUCUCUCCUCACCUAUCACUUUCUAUAUUUCUUCUUUGUUCUUUCCCUCUAUAUUCUCUUUCUUUUUUGUUUUCUCUAUUCUCUAUCUUUCCCACACUCUUAUCUUUAUAACUUUUCUGACGUAUUAUCUUUUUUCUAUCCUGUUCUUCUUUCUUCUUCCCUUCUUUCAACUACUGUUCCUUGCAUUUUUCUGCCCUUACCUUCUCUCCAACACUUGUUCCCUCUGAAUUUCUUUGUUCUUUUUUUAUUACCAUUCCCCACUACAGGGUAUCACCAUAAGCAACCAGGCAUCAGAUCCACAAAGAAGAGUGAGAUUGCUGUAGGACCCGUCACCCUUAUCCCAGACUAUGGAGCACCAGGAGAUAUGACAUCAGUGACUACUGGCCUCCUGACCUAUGAAUCCACAGUAGGUGCCAUUGCAUCAGAGAGCUCCUACUUGAAGGUUUUCAACCUCAAAUUCACCAUCCUCAACCUGUUCUACACAACAGACAUGGGUCAAAGGGGCUCCAGCAAAUUCAACUCCAUUGAGGAUGUCCUGCAACCUCUGGUGAGACUCUACCUCCACUCCUCUACCUCCUCUCUCCCAAGCUUUCUUCCUCAGCCCUGGGUAUCCAGGCCUGCUAUUUAUUUAGCGAGGCACUCAGCAGUUCCUUCCUUUCCUUUUGUUUCUAGAUCAACAACUUGUUUAGAAAAAGCAGCUUUGGCCCUCACUAUUUUGGAUGCAGGCUGA